rnacentral:rRNA from 1 species
GGGGAAUAUUGCACAAUGGGGGAAACCCUGAUGCAGCGACGCCGCGUGAAGGAAGAAGUAUCUCGGUAUGUAAACUUCUAUCAGCAGGGAAGAAAAUGACGGUACUCAACAAGGAAGUGACGGCUAACUACGUGCCAGCAGCCGCGGUAAAACGUAGGUCACAAGCGUUGUCCGGAAUUACUGGGUGUAAAGGGAGCGCAGGCGGGAGAACAAGUUGGAAGUGAAAUCCAUGGGCUCAACCCAUGAACUGCUUUCAAAACUGUUUUUCUUGAGUAGUGCAGAGGUAGGCGGAAUUCCCGGUGUAGCGGUGGAAUGCGUAGAUAUCGGGAGGAACACCAGUGGCGAAGGCGGCCUACUGGGCACCAACUGACGCUGAGGCUCGAAAGUGUGGGUAGCAAACAGGAUUAGAUACCCUGGUAGUCCACACCGUAAACGAUGAUUACUAGGUGUUGGAGGAUUGACCCCUUCAGUGCCGCAGUUAACACAAUAAGUAAUCCACCUGGGGAGUACGACCGCAAGGUUGAAACUCAAAGGAAUUGACGGGGGCCCGCACAAGCAGUGGAGUAUGUGGUUUAAUUCGAAGCAACGCGAAGAACCUUACCAGGUCUUGACAUCCGAUGCAUAGCACAGAGAUGUGUGAAAUCCUUCGGGACAUCGAGACAGGUGGUGCAUGGUUGUCGUCAGCUCGUGUCGUGAGAUGUUGGGUUAAGUCCCGCAACGAGCGCAACCCUUAUUGCCAGUUACUACGUUAAGAGGACUCUGGCGAGACUGCCGUUGACAAAACGGAGGAAGGUGGGGAUGACGUCAAAUCAUCAUGCCCUUUAUGACCUGGGCUACACACGUACUACAAUGGCGUUAAACAAAGAGAAGCAAGACCGCGAGGUGGAGCAAAACUCAAAAACAACGUCUCAGUUCAGAUUGCAGGCUGCAACUCGCCUGCAUGAAGACGGAAUUGCUAGUAAUCGCAGAUCAGCAUGCUGCGGUGAAUACGUUCCCG